rnacentral:lncRNA from 10 species
GUUCAGUCGGUGUCUGUCUUUGCGUGCUUCCCACAGACAGCACCUCACUAAGCUAAACUAUGAACCGCAUUUAGUGUUCGAAGUCAUACAUUCUUUAAAUACAACAUGGCCUUCAAUUAUAAGUCAACUGCUUCGUAGUUGGCUGCCAAAGCAACAGCCAUCUUAAACCAUGAAAUGCCCUUCAGAAGAAAGACAUGUGCUAGGAAGAUGGAGGAGGGAGCUUGAAGAAACCUGGGUCCCAGCUAUGGUUACUUUGAGUUUUUGGAUAGAUGCGGCUAAACCUCAUCCUCAUCUACACAUUGUUUACAUGCAAAAUGAAUUCCACCUUGAGAUAUAAUAUAAGAAGCAUGCCCUCUUUGUGGCUGAAUAUAAACCACAGUGGAACUUUCUCCAAAAAAGGAAUAUUUACAAAGCUAUUCCCUUACCUCCAGGUCCUUUUGGUAUUUCAUCAGAAAUGACUGGCUGAUGGGUUCCCUUGUGAAAGUGCCCCAUUUGGACAAGUUAAAUGAGUAAACCUGGUUAAAAAAAUAUAUUCACCAAGAGCCUCUGGGCAUAGGUACAGUUUCCAAGAGCCCAAGCAUUCUUGGCUACUUGUAAGUAUUAUUGGAAGGCACUCAAAACAAACACUCCAUUUGCCUGAUCUUCAGCAAAGAAAAUAUCAGCCUGUGUGAGCUAAUGUGGAUGUUAUUUUAGAAUUAGCUUCACUGCCAUUUCAGGGUAGCUAAUACUAUUGUCCUCAACUCAAAGCCUUUUGAACUUAGAUUUAGAAGGCAGGCAAGCUGCAAAGCUUGUGACUUUGAGUGUUCUAGAAAAACUCAAAUAUGAGUAGAUUUAGCUUGGUCGUGCAGGACACUUUCCCUUAACUUACUGAGGUAUUUGUAUCAUGGAAGAAGUUGAAAGAUUACUUUCAACUGUAGGAACAGCAGGGGUAGCUUCACAGGCAUGAAACCAGGCAGUGGCUCAGGGCUUCACAGUACAAAGGGCUCUGUGCUGAGUUAAAUGCUCUGCUGCUGCCAUCUUGAAAUUCUUAAUAUUUCUUGAACAAGGGGCUCUGCAUUCUCAUUUUGAACUGGGCCUUGCAAACCUGGAAACAGCAAUGUGGCUUUACUUCUACCUCCUUCCUAGACAACUUUCCUUCUUGUUUGCAUAUACAGGUUUCUCUAUUCAUAUUAAAUAUAAAAUGUAUCUUUUAGUAGCUGAGUCUCUGAAAGGUUUGGCCCACCACAAGGAUAAAAAACAGGAUGAGAGAACAGUAAAGUAAAAUGAUAACAUUAGAAGAAAUGGAAACUGGGUACAGGGUAUACAGGAAUUAUCUGUACAAUCUUUGCAACUUUUCUGUAAAUCUAAAAUUAUUCUAAAAUAUAAAGACCAGCUCAUCAUCAAUUUAAAAAGAAUGUAGUAAUUAUAAAGAGACAAUUGUAAAAUAACCAGAAACAACAACAGUAACAAAAGCCUUUCACACUUGAAAGUUAAAAAUAAAAAAGAAACAACAGUAUUCUUCUUAAAAAAUCACUUGAUCAAAGAAAAUUAAAAAUGGAAAUUGUAAACUUGGAAAUAUAUUACUAUUAUUUUCAUAACCAUUAAAGGAUUUAAUUAGAAUUGUUUAAAUAUAGCAAAAAAUAUGUUUAAAACUCAACAGUCUACUUUUGGACCACAACAAUAGGAAAAAUGAAAAUCCCUUUAUUCAGAAAUGUGCAUUAACGAUAUGUGCAUGUGUUUGUGUAUGUGAAUAAAUUAUAAAAUUUUGCUAAAUGAUACUAAAGAAGACUGAAGUAAAUGAAUCAUAUCC